rnacentral:sRNA from 1 species
GUUGGGCAUGGUGGCGUAUGCCUGUAAUCCCAUCGACUCAGAGGCUAAGGUAGGAGGAUCAUGAGUUCAAAACCAGUCUUAGAAACUUAAUGAGAAACUAAGCAACUUAGUGAGACCCUGUCUCAA